UCUUUUUCUUUCUCACCUUCUCCGCAUCUCUUUCUCCUUCGCCCUCAUCUCUUUCUCCUUCAAAUGGCGAACCAGAAAAACCCCCUAAAUUUGCCAGAAAUAAAACAUAAACCUGCGAGAAUCCGAUCACCUAAUGUUAUAUCUGCAAACCCAAUUUUACCGAAAUCAAAUCCAUCUUUGAAUAACCUGAUUUCCCAAACCCUAGAGAUUAGAUUUUUAGACCGUAAGAAGAAUCAAGUGUUUACCCUAGAAAUUUGAGAUCAAUCUGUGAAUGAAUACUGAUUUUUCAGCUGGAUUUGUGUUUUAGAAGGGAAUGGAGUUCAGUUGGAUUUGUACCUUUAAAGUUGCAGAAGGGAAUGAAGUCGACAAUAAUAGAUAAGCUUCACGGUGUUGAAAUUGCUUCAAGUUUUCUAUUGCUGUUGAGAUGCCUGAAGUUGCAGCUAUUAAGAACAUGCAAGCUGAAAACAUUGGUAUGAAUAGGAUGUUGACAUUGGUGAGGAUAUUCCUACUGGUAAUUACCCUCCAAUGGAGAUUGAGAAAGAUACGGGUUCUGCUAAUGACAAAACUGGUGGUGGUUCUGGUAGUUCCAGCAGUUGUGAUUCAUCUUUUGAUAGAGAUUCUGGUAGUUCUUCAAGGAGUGGUUCCGAUGGUUAUGAAGCACAAUCUCAUUUCUUUGAAUCCGAAGCUGAUAAAUCAAAUGAGGGAUUCACUUAAUUUGUUCACUGAGAAGUAAUGGUGUUUUUAGAUAGUGGGAAGAUAAACCUAAAACAGAGUUGCAGGAAGAAGCACAUGUAAAAUUACAGCAGAGACCGCGAAGUUGACAUCGCUAGAUAGUGCCUACACAGACAUUAUUGUUUCAUUGCAGAAAGAGGUGAACUUUGGUUUGAAGAGCCAACACCAAUCCAAAGGCAGGUUAUAGUUCUCCUAUCUGUAUGCAACUCAAUAACCCUCCAAGUGUGAUAUUAGAGAGGCUAAGAGAUGCAUCCAGAGAGGAUAGAAGUUGAUUUCUUUACAUCUAUGUGAAUCUGGCAUUUUCUCAUUGUUGUGCUUAUGUACUAUGGUGGAUCCGGGAGAUUUUUAGAGAUUAUGUUGUGCUUGAGUAGGUUGUUGUUGUGCUUAUGUACUAUGGUUUUGUGCAAGGUCUGACUUUGGGAUUUAUAUGGGUCUGCUGCUUACAUUCAGCGAUUCAUCCGGCUAAGCUGCAUACAAAUGAUGAACGUUAUUCUUAGUUCCUGAAUUGUGUAAGCACACUUAGAGGUAUGGGAUGCAGUAGCAGCAGACGCAAAGUUGCUAGAGAAAAGGAACUCACACCUUGUUCUCUUUGGAAUAUGUUUAUAUAUUUACAGGUACCAUUUCGAAAUGUGCGACUCAGUGCAUGAAGGUGCACUUGUCUUUAAGAAACUUCAAACUUAUUAUCUAGGAGUAUUUGCUAGGAUUUGUAGCACUUAUAUUUAGGAAACCUUGAACUUUUAAUUAGAACUUGUAUUGGUGUGAAUUCUGGAAUUGAAUCCUUUUAUGUAUGAUUCUGAACUAAAUUUAUGAAUACAAUUAUUGGAAUGGAAUGGAAUGGUAAUUCUGUAUUGAUGAAUCA